rnacentral:rRNA from 1 species
GACGAACGCUGGCGGCGUGCCUAAUACAUGCAAGUAGAACGCUGAAGGAGGAGCUUGCUUCUCUGGAUGAGUUGCGAACGGGUGAGUAACGCGUAGGUAACCUGCCUGGUAGCGGGGGAUAACUAUUGGAAACGAUAGCUAAUACCGCAUAAUAGCAGUUGUUGCAUGACAACUGUUUGAAAGGUGCAAUUGCACCACUACCAGAUGGACCUGCGUUGUAUUAGCUAGUUGGUGGGGUAACGGCUCACCAAGGCGACGAUACAUAGCCGACCUGAGAGGGUGAUCGGCCCCACUGGGACUGGGACACGGCCCAGACUCCUACGGGAGGCAGCAGUAGGGAAUCCUCGGCAAUGGACGGAAGUCUGACCGAGCAACGCCGCGUGAGUGAAGAAGGUUUUCGGAUCGUAAAGCUCUGUUGUAAGAGAAGAACGAGUGUGAGAGUGGAAAGUUCACACUGUGACGGUAUCUUACCAGAAAGGGACGGCUAACUACGUG